AGUCGUACGAGAAUCCUCUCUUCGGAGAGGAGGACAGUGGCGAAAGGGUGAGUAACACGUGAGUAUCUACCUCCAGGUCGGGAACAGCCCGCGGAAACGCGGAUUAAUGCCCGAUGGUCCCUUCGGGGUAAAGAGGAAUCGCCCGGAGACGAGCUCGCGGCCCAUCAGCUUGUUGGCGGGGUAACGGCCCACCAAGGCGACGACGGGUAGGUGGUCUGAGAGGAUGGUCACCCACACUGGGACUGAGAUACUGCCCAGACUCCUACGGGAGGCUGCAGUCGAGAAUCAUCCGCAAUGGGCGAAAGCCUGACGGUGCAAUGCCGCGUGGGGGAUGAAGGCCUUCGGGUCGUAAACCCCUGUCAGAGGGGACGAAAAACAUGACGGUACCCUCAGAGGAAGCCACGGCUAACUACGUGCCAGCAGCCGCGGUAAUACGUAGGUGGCGAGCGUUAUUCGGAUUUACUGGGCGUAAAGGGUCCGCAGGGGGUUAGCCGAGUCCGAUGUGAAAGUCCGCAGCUCAACUGCGGAACUGCGUCAGAUACUGGUGAACUUGAGUGCGCGAAGGGCGAGCGGAAUUCCAGGUGUAGCGGUGGAAUGCGUAGAUAUCUGGAAGAACACCGGCGGCGAAAGCGGCUCGCUGGCGCGCCACUGACCCUCAUGGACGAAAGCGUGGGGAGCGAACAGGAUUAGAUACCCUGGUAGUCCACG
rnacentral:rRNA from 1 species